UACGUAGGGUGCGAGCGUUGUCCGGAAUUAUUGGGCGUAAAGGGCUCGUAGGCGGUUUGUCGCGUCGGGAGUGAAAUCCACUGGCUUAACUGGUGGCUUGCUUUCGAUACGGGCAGACUGGAGGUAUGCAGGGGAGAACGGAAUUCCUGGUGUAGCGGUGAAAUGCGCAGAUAUCAGGAAGAACACCAAUGGCGAAGGCAGCUCUCUGGGACGGUACUGACACUGAGACGCGAAAGCGUGGGGAGCGAACAGG
rnacentral:rRNA from 1 species